GCCUCUUGCAAUAUGGACAGAGUGGGUCCUA
rnacentral:piRNA from 1 species